UAAGGAAUCUUCCACAAUGGACGAAAGUCUGAUGGAGCAACGCCGCGUGCAGGAAGACGGCUUUCGGGUUGUAAACUGCUUUUAUACGGGAAGAUUAUGACGGUACCGUAUGAAUAAGGAUCGGCUAACUACGUGCCAGCAGCCGCGGUAAUACGUAGGAUCCAAGCGUUAUCCGGAUUUACUGGGCGUAAAGCGUACGUAGGCGGCGCGUUAAGUGCAAUGCGAAAUCCAGCGGCUCAACCGUUUGGACUGUGUUGCAUACUGGCGUGCUUGAGGAUGGCAGAGGCAAGUGGAAUUACUGGUGUAGCAGUGAAAUGCGUAGAUAUCAGUAGGAACACCAAUGGCGAAGGCAGCUUGCUGGGCCACACCUGACGCUGAGGUACGAAAGCGUGGGGAGCGAACCGG
rnacentral:rRNA from 1 species